CUCUCUCUCUCGUACGCGCCGAUAUAGAAUCACAGCCCGGUCGGCGGGAGCCCCGCAGCGGGCGAAGUUCUCCGGUCGACACGAGGCGGACGAGCAGCUCACCUCGCCGCCCGGUGAGGAAGAGAGAAGAGCUCGGGCGGAGACUGCAGUGUUUAACUGCCGCACCAUCAAAGGCACCAUAUACCCCCGGUUUAUCCUCAAUAAACCAGCUGUUUUGGAACAUUCUGGCGCUGUGUGGUCUCCCCAUGACGGCGGCGGAGACUGGGAGUCAUUCCAGAGUGUAGCAGGUCUGAGUUGUGAGAGGAUGAGAAAUCCCAGCCAGCUGUGAAACCUUAAAAAGCUGGACCGAGUGAGAUUGUUAUGUAAAACACCCCCUUUUAAUCUGCCAGGAAUCAAACAGUCGGGUUUGAUAUAUAGAGGAGAUCCUCCCUUUUCUGCACUAAUUAAAUCCUGGUGUCAGGAUGGGAGUGAGCAGGAAAUUGCCCCACUUGUGGAGGCGGAAAAAUCCAGGAAAUGACAAAUUUUUGACACAGAAGGAAAAAAGUAGUGUGUGAGGAUUUGUUUUCUGUUACACACAGCAGCACGUUAAUGUUGUGGUACUUAUAGUUACCAAACCAAAUAUCUCCCAGGGCCAAAAUGAAGAGUUAGGAGUUGAAAUACAUAAAGAACUAGCAAGAUUGAAUAAUUACAAUAAUGCCCCAGAUUGCUGCUCUCAUGUAUUGCCUUUGCAUUUGAGUCACAGAGCUAAGCAUUCAAUUAAAUGUUAUGUUUUGUGGCUUUGAAAAACCGAGCUGGUCCUCUAACAGCACUUACCGCUGUUUUUGAAGAUAUUUCCGGAUUCCUCGAGGACUCUUCAAACCGUCAGGAUGAAAAAUACAUUCUCUCUGUUAUCCACUAAAAAAGAUUCAAAACUGGUUUUCCUAAGUUGUUUUUCCUCCUAAGAACAGAGACGACGGCCAGACAUCCUCGCUCGACUUGUGCAACACAACACAACACCCCCCAAAAAAAAUGUAUGAUCAGUAUUCUUUUCAACCGUAUUUAUUUUCAGACACAGUAACAUGCAAAUGUUUUGUUUGUGUUUUCAUAAACAGAACGAGGAGUUGUGUCGUCUCCAGCUUCCUGUGUUGUGGAAAUAAAGCUGCAACUUAAUGAAAAAAAAAAAAAAAAGAAGUAAUUCUGUAGUGCAGCCAUCCCAAAGGUUUCAAUUAGUUUCAAUGAGGCAAAACAGCUUGUCGGGCCUUUAUGUGAAAUCUAAAGGAGGCAUUUCUUUCACAUGUCAGAACUGGGUCUUUUAAUGAUGAACGGGCCUCACUUUACCCAUCGGCAGUGUUGUAAAACAUAACUAAAAGUCACCCCCAUUAAGAGUACUUGAGUAAAAAUCUGAUAUUAAAUGUAGCAAAAUGUA